CACAGUGAAGGUGUUUGAUAAAGGAGAUGAAGAGAGGGAAACAGAAGAUCGAAGCUCAGAAAAAGAACGCCGAAAAGAAUCAGAAGUCCAAAGGCUCACAGAUCGAAGCCCGCGCCGUCGGCCUCCAAGUCGUCUGCUCUAUUUGUCGGGCCCAGCUAGCGAAUCAGAAUCAGCUUGUUGAUCAUUACAGCUCCAAGCACCCAAAAGAAAAGCCUCCAAGCAACUCAGGAUAACAGCUCUCGACUCUAAAAGCUUUUGGUUUUCUUGGUUCAAAAUGUAAUUUAACUCCAGAACACAUGAUGUUGAGUUCCCCUGUUCUGUUUAUAAGAAUGUACCCCAAUUAUUACCUGCAAGGGAAUCUACAAAUGAAUAUAUUGUACUCUCUGCUUUGUAUGGUUGGCCCUGGGCACCUUUUAAUUCUUCUUGUUUCUGGAUA